GGUUUCUCUAUGUAGCCCUGGCUGUCCUGGAACUCUCUCUGUAGAACAGGCUGGCCUCAAACUCACAGAGAUCCACCUGCCUCUGCCUCCCGAGUGCUGGGAUUAAAAGUGUGCACCACCACCGCCCG
rnacentral:miRNA from 1 species